AACGAACGCUGGCGGCAUGCCUAACACAUGCAAGUCGAACGAGACCUUCGGGUCUAGUGGCGCACGGGUGCGUAACGCGUGGGAACCUGCCCUUAGGUUCGGAAUAACUCCCCGAAAGGGGUGCUAAUACCGGAUAAUGUCUUCGGACCAAAGAUUUAUCGCCUUUGGAUGGGCCCGCGUUGGAUUAGCUAGUUGGUAGGGUAAAAGCCUACCAAGGCGACGAUCCAUAGCUGGUCUGAGAGGAUGAUCAGCCACACUGGGACUGAGACACGGCCCAGACUCCUACGGGAGGCAGCAGUGGGGAAUAUUGGACAAUGGGCGAAAGCCUGAUCCAGCAAUGCCGCGUGAGUGAUGAAGGCCUUAGGGUUGUAAAGCUCUUUUACCCGGGAUGAUAAUGACAGUACCGGGAGAAUAAGCUCCCGCUAACUCCGUG
rnacentral:rRNA from 1 species